rnacentral:lncRNA from 1 species
CCUGUCUCUACUGAAAAUACAAAAAUUAGCUGGAUGUGGUGGUGCAUACCUGUAAUCCCAGCUACUUGGGAGACUGAGGCAGGAGAAUCACUUGAACCAGGGAGGCAGAAGUUGCAGUGAGCCAAGAUCUUGCCACUGCACUCCAGCCUGGGUGACCGAGUGAGACUCCAACUCAAAACUAAAUAAAUAAAAAAUAAAAAUAAAAAAACACAGAAAAGUGCUCAACAUCUGUAGAACCAGAGAAAUGCAAAUUAAAAUUACAGUGAGAUGCAGCCGGGCGCAGUGGGAGGCCGAAGCAGGCGGAUCAUGAGGUCAAGAGAUCGAGACCAUCCUGGCCAACAUGGUGAAACCCAUCUCUAAAAAUACAAAAAUUAGCCGGGUGUGGUGGUGCGUGCUUGUAGUCCCAGCUACUAGGGAGGCUGAAGCAGGAGAAUCGCUUGAACCCAGGAGGUUCCCAGGUUGAACCCAGCCUGGCAAAAGAGCAAGACUCCAUCUCAAAAAAAAAAAAAAAAAGAAAAAUUACAGAGAGUUGCCGGUACAUACCAGUUCAUCAAUGGUAGCAAACACAUCUCACGAAUGUAAGACGUUAAAUAAUCAGAGAAACUGUGUGCAGGCUGUAUGGAACUGUCACGAGACAACAUUGCAACAAAUUCAACUUAAAAAUCUUAAUUGGCUUUCAUUCACAAUUCUGAAAUUGGCUUAGAACCAGGACAAAUUCAGACCUGGAGCUGCACAACGUUCAUGGAAACGGAAGUGAUGCGCAGAGGCAGUUUUGGUGGUGGCCGCUGGGCACUUUGCCUUGAAAUCAGCGGCCACUGGCAACUGACAGCUGGCAGCUGCGGUGACCUGGACCCAGUCCCUGUGACAAGAGGCCAGCCUUCUGUGGCCUUCAGGCCAUGCCAGGCUGCAGUUUGCUGUAUGGACUCAUGCCCCAGGCCUCCUCGGUGAAAACUUAACAGGACUCUCGGGUUCAUUUUGAAACCUUUAUGUAAGUCUUAGCCGGGCACGGUGGCUCAUGCCUGUAAUCCCAGCACUUUGGGAGGCUGAGGCAGGUGGAUCAUGACGUCAGGAGUUUGAGACUAGCCUGACCAACAUGGUGAAACCCCGUCUCUACUAAAAGUACAAAAACUGGAGGCCGGGCACAGUGGCACAUGCUUGUAAUCCCAGCUACUCGGGAGGCUGAGGCAGGAGAAUCACUUGAACCCAGGAGAUGGAGGUUGCAGUGAGCUGAGAUCGCGCCAUUGUACUCCAGCCUGGGCAACAGAGCAAGACUCCAUCUCAGGAAAAAAAAAAAGAAGAGAAACCUUUAUGUAAGUCUAAAUCUAUUCUGAAAUUAAAAGUUGAUGUAAAAAUCUUUAAAACGUAGGCUGCAGUCACAUGGGGGGAAGCCAGAGGAGGGGGAAGAUGAGUGAAGCCCAGCUCUGCUCCUGGGAGCUGAAAGCACAGGUGUCAAAACACCAGCCGGGAGUGCGGCAGUGCAAGGCCUGGCCCUGCCUUCCCCAAGUGCUCAGGACAGAAUUUUCCAUCUGUUUUAUUUUUUAAAUUUUUAUUGAUUGAUUCAUUCAUUCAUU